rnacentral:rRNA from 1 species
CCUACGGGAGGCAGCAGUGGGGAAUAUUGGGCAAUGGGCGCAAGCCUGACCCAGCAACGCCGCGUGAAGGAAGAAGGCUUUCGGGUUUUAAACUUCUUUUAAGAGGGGAGUGCAGAAGACUGUACCUCUUGAAUAAGCCACGGCUAACUACGUGCCAGCAGCCGCGGUAAUACGUAGGUGGCAAGCGUUGUCCGGAUGUACUGGGUGUAACGGGCGUGCAGCCGGGAAGACAAGUCAGAUGUGAAAUCCCGCGGCUCAACCGCGGAACUGCAUUUGAAACUGUUUUUCUUGAGUACCGGAGAGGUCAUCGGAAUUCCUGGUGUAGCGGUGAAAUGCGUAGAUAUAAGGAAGAACACCAGUGGCGAAGGAGGAUGACUGGACGGCAACUGACGGUGAGGCGCGAAAGCGUGGGGAGCAAACAGGAUUAGAUACCCCAGUAGUC